rnacentral:lncRNA from 1 species
GCUUGUGGUUGCUAUGGCCGGGCUGACCUCAAUCUCUGUGGUUUGAGGGACUUAAGCAGUCAUUUUUUUCUUUUCUUUUCUUUCUUUCUUUCCUUUUUUUUUUUUUUUUAAUUGAAGAGCAUGUACCUUGAUUUAUGUCCAAAACUGUAGCUGAAUGUCUUUGUCCACGGGUGAUAUAUGGUGCAGAACAAUUCAUCUGUUCUUACGAGUAAACACCGCUGUCCCACUAAAAAUAUGUUUUGUUCGGAGUUAAUGGUAUGGAACAGGGCAUUCUCCACAAACAGCUAUCUUUUAUUGUGUUGGGGCCGCGGAAACGCUGAGCAAAGUGCAGGAAAUUGGCAUCAGUCCUCGCGUCUAUUAGCAUUUCAUUUGUGAGUCGCCUGAUGAGACGCAUGGACUAUCCUCAGGAAAAUGAGAUCCAGGAAGAGUGACGCCCUCCUCGAACUGAAAGAUACUCAGGCUGAUGGAGUCAGGGACGAAGUGGUUUAUCAACAACACAGGAUGUCUGCAGGGAACAGAACUUAUUCAGACAUGGCCCAGAUUGUCUGCCCGUGGGGACUGAGGGACCUCUGAGGGUUACAUCAGGAAGGAAGGAGAGGCUGUUUCUACAGGUGCCACAGAAAAAUCGAUGCUGAGCCUCGGAUUAUUGGAUCCCAUAGAACCGUGGAGACUUGGCAGUGAAAUUCUUCCAAAGCAUUCCAUCUGCGCAGGCAGAGGUGUUCCUGGUUUAGGAAGUAUAAAUCCCGUGGGAAGUCAACUGGAGGACAUUUUACGCGU